AAAUCCUUUAACGAGGAUCUAUUGGAGGGCAAGUCUGGUGCCAGCAGCCGCGGUAAUUCCAGCUCCAAUAGCGUAUAUUAAAGUUGUUGCGGUUAAAAAGCUCGUAGUUGGUUCUGCGUGCCACGCUGUCGGUUCACCGCCUGUCGGUGCAACUGGCAUGCCGUGGCAUGUCCUGUCGGUGGCGGAUAGGCUUCACAGCGGGUCCCUACGUGACCUAAGGUUACGUAGGCCGUCGUGUAGUCCUAGUACGCCGGCUCAAUCCUGCCGCGGUGCUCUUUACCGAGUGUCGAGGUAGGCCGACACAUUUUACUUUGAACAAAUUAGAGUGCUUAAAGCAGGCUCUUAAAUCAGCCUGAAUAGUGGUGCAUGGAAUAAUGGAACAGGACCUUGGUUCUAUUUUGUUGGUUUUAGGAAUCCAAGGUAAUGAUCAAUAAGGACAGGCGGGGGCAUUCGUAUUGCGACGUUAGAGGUGAAAUUCUUGGAUCGUCGCAAGACGCACUAGAGCGAAAGCAUUUGCCAAGUAUGUCUUAAUUGAUCAAGAACGAAAGUUA
rnacentral:rRNA from 1 species